AGUGAACGCUGGCGGUAGGCCUAACACAUGCAAGUCGAACGGCAGCACAGUAAGAGCUUGCUCUUACGGGUGGCGAGUGGCGGACGGGUGAGGAAUACAUCGGAAUCUACUUUUUCGUGGGGGAUAACGUAGGGAAACUUACGCUAAUACCGCAUACGACCUACGGGUGAAAGCAGGGGAUCUUCGGACCUUGCGUGAUUGAAUGAGCCGAUGUCGGAUUAGCUAGUUGGCGGGGUAACGGCCCACCAAGGCGACGAUCCGUAGCUGGUCUGAGAGGAUGAUCAGCCACACUGGAACUGAGACACGGUCCAGACUCCUACGGGAGGCAGCAGUGGGGAAUAUUGGACAAUGGGCGCAAGCCUGAUCCAGCCAUACCGCGUGAGUGAAGAAGGCCUUCGGGUUGUAAAGCCCUUUUGUUGGGAAAGAAAAACAGCAGGUUAAUACCCCGCUGUUCUGACGGUACCCAAAGAAUAAGCACCGGCUAACUUCGUG
rnacentral:rRNA from 1 species